GAUGAACGCUAGCUGCAGGCUUAACACAUGCAAGUCGAGGGGCAGCAUGGUCUUAGCUUGCUAAGGCCGAUGGCGACCGGCGCACGGGUGAGUAACACGUAUCCAACCUGCCGUCUACUCUUGGACAGCCUUCUGAAAGGAAGAUUAAUACAAGAUGGCAUCAUGAGUCCACAUGUUCACAUGAUUAAAGGUAUUCCGGUAGACGAUGGGGAUGCGUUCCAUUAGAUAGUAGGCGGGGUAACGGCCCACCUAGUCUUCGAUGGAUAGGGGUUCUGAGAGGAAGGUCCCCCACAUUGGAACUGAGACACGGUCCAAACUCCUACGGGAGGCAGCAGUGAGGAAUAUUGGUCAAUGGGCGAGAGCCUGAACCAGCCAAGUAGCGUGAAGGAUGACUGCCCUAUGGGUUGUAAACUUCUUUUAUAAAGGAAUAAAGUCGGGUAUGGAUACCCGUUUGCAUGUACUUUAUGAAUAAGGAUCGGCUAACUCCGUGCCAGCAGCCGCGGUAAUACGGAGGAUCCGAGCGUUAUCCGGAUUUAUUGGGUUUAAAGGGAGCGUAGAUGGAUGUUUAAGUCAGUUGUGAAAGUUUGCGGCUCAACCGUAAAAUUGCAGUUGAUACUGGAUAUCUUGAGUGCAGUUGAGGCAGGCGGAAUUCGUGGUGUAGCGGUGAAAUGCUUAGAUAUCACGAAGAACUCCGAUUGCGAAGGCAGCCUGCUAAGCUGCAACUGACAUUGAGGCUCGAAAGUGUGGGUAUCAAACAGGAUUAGAUACCCUGGUAGUCCACACGGUAAACGAUGAAUACUCGCUGUUUGCGAUAUACAGCAAGCGGCCAAGCGAAAGCGUUAAGUAUUCCACCUGGGGAGUACGCCGGCAACGGUGAAACUCAAAGGAAUUGACGGGGGCCCGCACAAGCGGAGGAACAUGUGGUUUAAUUCGAUGAUACGCGAGGAACCUUACCCGGGCUUAAAUUGCAGAUGAAUUACGGUGAAAGCCGUAAGCCGCAAGGCAUCUGUGAAGGUGCUGCAUGGUUGUCGUCAGCUCGUGCCGUGAGGUGUCGGCUUAAGUGCCAUAACGAGCGCAACCCUUGUUGUCAGUUACUAACAGGUUCCGCUGAGGACUCUGACAAGACUGCCAUCGUAAGAUGUGAGGAAGGUGGGGAUGACGUCAAAUCAGCACGGCCCUUACGUCCGGGGCUACACACGUGUUACAAUGGGGGGUACAGAGGGCCGCUACCACGCGAGUGGAUGCCAAUCCCAAAAACCUCUCUCAGUUCGGACUGGAGUCUGCAACCCGACUCCACGAAGCUGGAUUCGCUAGUAAUCGCGCAUCAGCCACGGCGCGGUGAAUACGUUCCCGGGCCUUGUACACACCGCCCGUCAAGCCAUGGGAGCCGGGGGUACCUGAAGUGCGUAACCGCGAGGAGCGCCCUAGGGUAAAACUGGU
rnacentral:rRNA from 1 species